rnacentral:rRNA from 1 species
GUGCCAGCAGCCGCGGUAACACGUAGGAUGCAAGCGUUAUUCGGAUUUACUGGGCGUAAAGCGCGUGUAGGCGGUUAGGAGAGUUGGAUGUGAAAGCUCCCGGCUUAACUGGGAGAGGUCGUUCAAAACUUCCUGACUAGAGUUUGGUAGAGGAAAAUGGAAUUCCGGGUGUAGUGGUGAAAUGCGUAGAUAUCCGGAGGAACACCAGUGGCGAAAGCGAUUUUCUGGACCGAUACUGACGCUCAGACGCGAAAGCUAGGGUAGCAAACGGGAUUAGAAACCCCCGUAGUCC